AGCUGCCCCGCGGCCCUUUGUGCGCCUGACCCCGCCGUCCCCGGGCUGCGGGCUGGCGGGACGUGCUUCCCGGCCCCAGCCUGGGAAGCCGCCACGUCGCAGCUGGGGGCGCGCGCCUGCCUGGACCCUCCGCGCGGCACUCACAGUGGCGCCGCGGCUGCUCUUGCGAGGUGGGGGCUGUCAGGGCCGCCGGCGCCCAGGCCGGCCGCGAGCCUGAGGCUCUGCAGAGCGAGCGCACGACCCGCAGCAUUCCUUCCUUCUGAGUACGGGGCAGGACUCUCUCUGGGAUGGAGGGGUCUUAGGACCUGCAAGCAAACAAGACUCAGCCCACCUGCACUGAGGUGAAAUAAACAGCUUUAUUGCUCACACAAAGCCUGUUGGUGGACUCUCUUCACAUUGAUGCGCGUGACAUUUUGUGCUGUGACUUGGAUUGGGGGCCCUUCCUUGGGAGAUCAAUCCCCUGUCCUCCUGCUCUUUGCUCCAGGAGAAAGAUCCA